rnacentral:rRNA from 1 species
UUGAUCCCUGGCUCAGAUUGAACGCUGGCGGCAGGCCUUAACACAUGCAAGUUGAGCGGCAGCACGGGUACUUGUACCUGGUGGCGAGCGGCGGACGGGUGAGUAAUGCCUAGGAAUCUGCCUGGUAGUGGGGGAUAACGCUCGGAAACGGACGCUAAUACCGCAUACGUCCUACGGGAGAAAGCAGGGGACCUUCGGGCCUUGCGCUAUCAGAUGAGCCUAGGUCGGAUUAGCUAGUUGGUGAGGUAAUGGCUCACCAAGGCGACGAUCCGUAACUGGUCUGAGAGGAUGAUCAGUCACACUGGAAGCUGAGACACGGUCCAGACUCCUACGGGAGGCAGCAGUGGGGAAUAUUGGACAAUGGGCGAAAGCCUGAUCCAGCCAUGCCGCGYGUGUGAAGAAGGUCUUCGGAUUGUAAAGCACUUUAAGUUGGGAGGAAGGGCAGUUACCUAAUACGUAUCUGUUUUGACGUUACCGACAGAAUAAGCACCGGCUAACU